UACAGAGGGGGCAAGCGUUGUUCGGAAUUACUGGGCGUAAAGGGCGCGUAGGCGGCCUGCUAAGUCGAACGUGAAAUCCCCGGGCUCAACCCGGGAACUGCGUCCGAUACUGGCAGGCUUGAAUCCGGGAGAGGGAUGUGGAAUUCCAGGUGUAGCGGUGAAAUGCGUAGAUAUCUGGAGGAACACCGGUGGCGAAGGCGACACGCUGGGCCGUACCUGACACUGAUGCGCGACAGCAUGGGGAGCAAACAGG
rnacentral:rRNA from 1 species